UCUCUGUCCCUGAGACCCUUAACCUGUGAGGAAGCCCAGAGGUCACAGGUGAGGUUCUUGGGAACUGAG